rnacentral:rRNA from 1 species
GACGAACGCUGGCGGCGUGCUUAACACAUGCAAGUCGAACGGAAAGGCCCUGCUUUUGUGAGGUGCUCGAGUGGCGAACGGGUGAGUAACACGUGAGUAACCUGCCCUUGACUUUGGGAUAACUUCAGGAAACUGGGGCUAAUACCGGAUAGGAGCUCCUGCUGCAUGGUGGGGGUUGGAAAGUUUCGGCGGUUGGGGAUGGACUCGCGGCUUAUCAGCUUGUUGGUGGGGUAGUGGCUUACCAAGGCUUUGACGGGUAGCCGGCCUGAGAAGGUGACCGGCCACAUUGGGACUGAGAUACGGCCCAGACUCCUACGGGAGGCAGCAGUGGGGAAUAUUGCACAAUGGGCGGAAGCCUGAUGCAGCAACGCCGCGUGCGGGAUGACGGCCUUCGGGUUGUAAACCGCUUUCGCCUGUGACGAAGCGUGAGUGACGGUAAUGGGUAAAGAAGCACCGGCUAACUACGUG